CUGAGGAUCGAACCCAGGUCCCGCCUGUGUUAGGCGAGCGCUCUACCGCUGAGCCACAAUCCCAGUCCCCAGCCUUUGCUUUGCUUUUAUUUGUAUUCAACACGAAGCAAGUUUGAAAUGUUCUGUAUUUUAUAAUAAUCAUGCAGCUUCCAAAGUAUCAAGGUUAAGAAAUAAAAGUCACUGCAGAAAUUAUUAGGACAGUGUCAGAAAAAAAUGAAUAAUUUCAAAUUACAUGGUUAAUAACAUGUUUAUUGAAGAUACCGUAUAUCUUUACCAGAAACCAGAAUAUAUUCUCUUUUCAAAGUUACCUCCACUCUUCUUUUCAGUUUAUUUGUUCAUUAUUGAUAAAAGUGAUUUCACAGUGUGCUAUAAAUUAUAAAAUGCUGUUGGGUUUAAUAGUCUUACAAAGUUUUAUUUGGUUACUUGGACGAUUUUUAGACUGCUUUGUAUUUAGCAUUGCAGGUUAUAUUUCUUUCUCUCUUUUCUCCUUUUAAAAGUAUUUUAUAUGUAGGCCACUUCCGGAAUGUUAUACAGGUUCGGAUCCCUUAUUUGAAAUGCUUGGGACUCAAAAAGUGCUUUGGAUUUCAGAUUUUUUUGUAUUUUAGAAUAGUUGCAAAUAC
rnacentral:lncRNA from 1 species